rnacentral:lncRNA from 1 species
GACGUCCACCUGGAGAAUGAGGACAAAGAAUUGAAGAAGUCAGGCGUCCACCUGGAGAACGAGGAUGAAGAAUUAAAGAAAGAAGUCAGGCGUCCACCUGGAGAAUGAGGAUGAGAAUUAAAGAAGUCAGGCGUCCACCUGGAGAAUGAGGAUGAGAAUUAAAGAAGUCAGGCGUCCACUUGGAGAAUGAGGAUGAGAAUUAAAGAAAUCAGGCGUCCACCUGGAGAAUGAGGAUAAGAAAAGAAGAAGUCAGGCGUCCACCUGGAGAAUGAGGAAGAGAAUUAAAAAAGUCAGGCGUCCACCUGGAGAAUGAGGAUGAGAAUUAAAGAAAUCAGGCGUCCACCUGGAGAAUGAGGAUAAGAAAAGAAGAAGUCAGGCGUCCACCUGGAGAAUGAGGACAAAGAAUUGAAGAAGUCAGGCGUCCACCUGGAGAACGAGGAUGAAGAAUUAAAGAAGGAAUCAGGCGUCCACCUGGAGAAUUAGGAUGAGAAUUAAAGAAGUCAGGCAUCCACCUGGAGAAUGAGGAUGAGAAAAGAAGAAGUCAGGCGUCCACAUGGAGAACGAGGAUGAAGAAUUAAAGAAAGAAUCAGGUGUUCACCUGGAGAACGAGGAUGACAAUUAAAGAA